UUUCGGUAGUUUCCCAGAAACGAACACCAUUUCAGGCGAUCCUCUGCCGCCCCAACCCUAGAACCGCUGGCUAGUAUCCCCAAUCUCGCCGAGACCGUCUUUUCUCUUGGUGAUUCCGAGCUCGAUUGGACUCUCCUCUCCUCUCCUCUUCCCAUGUCGAGAAGGAUUCUUUGCAAGUAUUUUGCACAUGGGGCAUGCCUGAAAGGGGAGUACUGUGAAUUUUCCCAUGAUUGGAAAGCCCAACCCAACAAUGUAUGCACCUUUUAUCAGAAAGGGGUGUGCUCUUAUGGUAGUCGAUGCAGGUAUGACCAUGUUAAAGUUUCUCGUCAUCAGGCAUCUGCCUCAUCAUCGUCAUCAAGUUCUCUUCCAUAUGUGGCAUCAGAUUCUGUUCAAAUCACCCAUCCUCAUAUGGAUGCUCUGAAUGGAGAAUUUAAAGCAGCAUCAAGUGCUCCAAAAGAGUUAACAGCCUCAAGUAAACCUUUCGUUCCUCCUGGUAAACCUGUAUGGACCCAAAAUUUUGAGACUCAUACAUUUCCAGAAAAUGAGGGCGGUCAUGUGCCCAUGUCUGUCAUAUUGGCCGACCUGCCAAUCUGUUCAUUUGCUGCUGCUGGUAGUUGUCCUUAUGGGGAAAAGUGCCCUCACAUCCAUGGGGAUUUGUGUUCCAUUUGUGGAAAGCAUUGCUUACAUCCACACCGUCUGGGUGAAAGAGAGGAACAUAUAAAGCUCUGUCAGAAAAAUAACAAACGUCUUGAAGCAUUGAAGCUUAGUCAGGAGAUAGAAUGCAGUGUAUGCUUGGAUCGAGUGCUCUCUAAGCCCACUGCUGCUGAACGGAAGUUUGGAUUGCUUUCAGAAUGUGACCAUCCAUUUUGUAUUUCAUGCAUCCGGAAUUGGCGGAGUAAUUCUCCUGCUUCUGGCAUGGAUGUCAACAAUGCAGUGAGGGCCUGUCCAAUAUGCAGAAAGAUAUCUUAUUUUGUCAUCCCUAGUGUUAUAUGGUAUUCAACAAAGGAGGAGAAACAAGAGAUCGUUGAUAACUACAAAGCCAAGCUCAAGUCUAUUGAUUGUAAAUACUUUGACUUCGGGAAUGGGACAUGCCCUUUCGGGACUAGUUGUUUCUACAGGCAUGCUUACAGAGAUGGUCGUUUAGAAGAAGUGGUACUACGGCAUUUUGAUGCUGAAGAUGGGAGCACUGUGAUAGCUAAGAAUAUUAGGUUCAUCAUUGCUUUCUUCCAUAUUGUUUCGCAUGAAAAUAGGAAUCUAUUUGUCAUACAGGCUGCUGUUUAUUUCUAAAUUGAUCAUUGUCUCAGGCUUUCGGACUUCUUCAGUGCAUUACAUCUCUAGGAUGUAGGAUCUAUGUGACUCAUGCAUACUUUAAAUGAUAUAUAUAAUGGCCUAGGAAUCAUGUUCAUUUUCACGUUUCAAAAAUUCAUACAGCUGCCCGAUUACCUCCACCUGCAGUCAGGGAGAUGUAUGUAUACUGGUCAAGAAUCUGGUCUAAAGGAUGGACCGCAAAUCGGUCAGGUCGCUUUGUGGCUGCUUAGAUGUUCGAGACAUUAUCCUUGUGAGACGAAAUAAUGCUUUAACUGCGGCGACCCUCUGGAGUCGUGGUUUACUGGGAAGGUCUCCGUUGUAUUUUCCUCGGUCUGAGAUCGUCCCUUCGCGUAUCGGCCUUGCAACUCAGUUAUGACCCAACUUAGAAAGCUCGUCCAUGCGUAUAAAUUUCCACGUGUUUUUGCCUCGUCGUAUUUGAUCUACCAAACUCUUUCUUUCUUCUCUGCUCAAGGCGCUUCUCCGUUUCUCUAGUGUUGUCUAGAUGCAUGGUCGCUUUGAAGCAGUCCUGGUGACAUGCUUGGGCAGUACGGAAAGUCUCGGAAAAAGAUGGUGCGCGAUAGCUGUGUUUUGCUGUUCCCCGGCGGAAGUGGUGUGCGUUGGCUGUGCAUUGCCUCCGGGACGUAUUGGAUGUUUUAAUAAAUUAUGCAAGAAAGAACUUUGUCGUAUUAGAUUGUUCCACUCUUUAUGAUGCGCCAUCAUCUGAGUCUACUUUCUAGGUUCGAAUCAUGUAUCCGCAUUCUUUGUCAUUAGUUGCUUUCUUUUGGGGAAAAGAAAAAGGCUAAAAGCAAUGAUUACCA